GACGAACGCUGGCGGCGUGCUUAACACAUGCAAGUCGAGCGGUAAGGCCCUUUCGGGGGUACACGAGCGGCGAACGGGUGAGUAACACGUGGGUGACCUGCCUUUAGCUCUGGGAUAAGCCUGGGAAACUGGGUCUAAUACCGGAUACGACUCCGCGGUGCAUGCUGUGGGGUGGAAAGCCUUGUGCGGCUGGAGAUGGGCCCGCGGCCUAUCAGCUUGUUGGUGGGGUGAUGGCCUACCAAGGCGACGACGGGUAGCCGGCCUGAGAGGGCGACCGGCCACACUGGGACUGAGACACGGCCCAGACUCCUACGGGAGGCAGCAGUGGGAAUCUUGCGCAAUGGGCGAAAGCCUGACGCAGCGACGCCGCGUGAGGGAUGACGGCCUCGGUUGUAAC
rnacentral:rRNA from 1 species